GACCAUCUCCUAAGGCUAAAUACUCUCUAGUGACCGAUAGUGAACCAGUACCGUGAGGGAAAGGUGAAAAGCACCCCGGAAGGGGAGUGAAAUAGAACCUGAAACCGUGUGCUUACAAGUAGUCAGAGCCCGUUAAUGGGUGAUGGCGUGCCUUUUGUAGAAUGAACCGGCGAGUUACGAUUUGAUGCAAGGUUAAGCAGUAAAUGUGGAGCCGUAGCGAAAGCGAGUCUGAAUAGGGCGUUUAGUAUUUGGUCGUAGACCCGAAACCAGGUGAUCUACCCUUGGUCAGGUUGAAGUUCAGGUAACACUGAAUGGAGGACCGAACCGACUUACGUUGAAAAGUGAGCGGAUGAACUGAGGGUAGCGGAGAAAUUCCAAUCGAACCUGGAGAUAGCUGGUUCUCUCCGAAAUAGCUUUAGGGCUAGCCUCAAGUGAUGAUUAUUGGAGGUAGAGCACUGUUUGGACGAGGGGCCCCUCUCGGGUUACCGAAUUCAGACAAACUCCGAAUGCCAAUUAAUUUAACUUGGGA
rnacentral:rRNA from 1 species